rnacentral:rRNA from 1 species
UUAUCUCUGUAGAGUCUGCAUAUCAAUAAGCGGAGGAAAAGAAACUAACUAGGAUUCCCUCAGUAACGGCGAGUGAAGCGGGAAGAGCUCAAAUUUGAAAUCUUCAAGGUUCUACCUUGACGAAUUGUAGUUUAAAGAAGUGCUUUUCGGUUAGAGGAGUUUAGUAAAAGUUCUUUGGAAUAGGACAUCAUAGAGGGUGAGAAUCCCGUAUUUGACCUAUUAUUUCCUAGCUUUGUGAUACACUUUCAAAGAGUCGGAUUGUUUGGGAAUGCAGUCCAGAAAUGGGUGGUAAAUUUCAUCUAAAGCUAAAUAUUGGCGAGAGACCGAUAGCGAACAAGUACCGUGAGGGAAAGAUGAAAAGAACUUUGAAAAGAGAGUUAAACAGUACGUGAAAUUGUCAAAAGGGAAGCGUUUGACACCAGUGUUGUUUUCUCGAAAAUCAAUUAAAAAUGGCCGGGAUUUUGUGUUGUAUUGACUUUAUCAGCUUUCAGCACUUUUUUCCUAUCUUUUUUAAUGCACUUUUCGUUUAACAAGUCAACAUCAAUUUCUUUUGUUGUAAAAGAGUCAUUGGAAGGUGGCUUUCUUUUCGGAGAAAGUGUUUAUAGCCUUUGACUUCUGCAAUCGGAGAGAUUGAGGUCUGCAGCGUAGAUCCUUCGGGGUUAGAUGCAUUUGUGCUAAGCUAUAGCCUUUCAUAGACAACUUGUUGACUAUGAUCAGUCAUGUAGCUUACUCGCUUAUGUCAUUUUACCUACGCUUAGGAUGUUGAUGUGAUACUGCGAGCA